rnacentral:rRNA from 1 species
AUUGAACGCUGGCGGCAGGCCUAACACAUGCAAGUCGAGCGAGCGGCGGACGGGUGAGUAAUGUAUGGGGACUGCCCGAUAGAGGGGGAUAACUACUGGAAACGGUAGCUACUACUGCAUACUAUCGGAUAACCCAUAUGGGAUUAGCUAGUAGGUGAGGUAAUUGCCCACCUAGGCGACGAUCCCUAGCUGGUCUGAGAGGAUGAUCAGCCACACUGGGACGGAGAAAGGGCCCGAACUCCUACGGAGGCAGAAGUGGGGAAUAUUGGACAAGGGGCGCAAGCCUGAUGCAGCAAUGCCGCGUGUAUGAAGAAGGCCCUAGGGUUGUAAAGUACUUUCAGUCGGGAGGCGUUACCGAAAGAAGAAGCACCGGCUAACUCCGUGCCAGCAGCCGCGGUAAUUC